rnacentral:tRNA from 2 species
GGCCCCUUGGUCAAGCGGUUAAGACACCGCCCUUUCACGGCGGUAACACGGGUUCGAGUCCCGUCGGGGUCA